rnacentral:rRNA from 1 species
UACGGAGGGUGCAAGCGUUAUCCGGAUUCACUGGGUUUAAAGGGUGCGUAGGCGGACAGGUAAGUCAGUGGUGAAAUCUCCGAGCUUAACUCGGAAACUGCCGUUGAUACUAUUUGUCUUGAAUAUUGUGGAGGUAAGCGGAAUAUGUCAUGUAGCGGUGAAAUGCUUAGAUAUGACAUAGAACACCAAUUGCGAAGGCGGCUCACUGGCUCGGUACUGACGCUGAGGAGCGACAGCGUGGGGAGCAAACAGG